rnacentral:rRNA from 1 species
UGCCAGCAGCCGCGGUAAUACGGAGGGUGCAAGCGUUGUUCGGAAUUACUGGGCGUAAAGAGUGCGUAGGCGGAUGAUUAAGUGAGAUGUGAAAUACCCGAGCUCAACUUGGGUGCUGCAUUUCAAACUGGUCGUCUAGAGUGCAGGAGAGGAAAGUGGAAUUCCUAGUGUAGCGGUGAAAUGCGUAGAGAUUAGGAAGAACACCAGUGGCGAAGGCGACUUUCUGGACUGUAACUGACGCUGAGGCACGAAAGCGUGGGGAGCGAACAGGAUUAGAUA